UACGUAGGGUGCGAGCGUUAAUCGGAAUUACUGGGCGUAAAGCGUGCGCAGGCGGUUUUGUAAGCCAGAUGUGAAAUCCCCGGGCUUAACCUGGGAAUGGCAUUUGGGACUGCAAGGCUGGAGUGCGGCAGAGGAGACUGGAAUUCCUGGUGUAGCAGUGAAAUGCGUAGAUAUCAGGAGGAAUACCGAUGGCGAAGGCGGCUACCUGGACAGAAACUGACGCUGAGGCGCGAAAGCUAGGGGAGCAAACAGG
rnacentral:rRNA from 1 species